rnacentral:misc_RNA from 1 species
GAACGCACCUUGCGCCCUUUGGCCAUUCCGAAGGGCAUGCCUGUUUGAGUAUCAUGAACACCUCAACUCUCAUGGCUUGCCAUGAUGAGCUUGGACUUUGGGGGUCUUGUCGGCCUGCGGUCGGCUCCUCUCAAAUGGAUCAGCUUGCCAGUGUUUGGUGGCGUCACAGGUGUGAUAACUAUCUGCGCUUGUGGUUUCCCAUCAGAUAACCUUCAGUGAUGGAGGUUCGCUGGGGCUCAUAAAUGUGUCUCUCCUCACCGAGGACAGCUCUCUAGACGUUUGAUCUCAAAUCAGGUAGGACUACCCGCUGAACUUAAG